rnacentral:lncRNA from 1 species
CACAGGAUCUGUGUAAGACCAGAGUGAGGCCAGGAGUCCCAGCCUGAGGUCCUUAAUCCCAGUUUGAGGCAGUUAGUGGGCCACUCCAGGUCAGUAUAAACCCAGCACUAAGCCCCAUAUCCCCACUGAAGCCAGUCCCCAAAGUAUUGACCAGUGGGAGCCCAGACAUAGCUAAACCCUAUCAAAGCUCAAAGCAGACCCCCCGGGGAAGGCAGUCCACGAUGUACCUGACCUGAUCAAGUCCAAAGUGAGACCAAAAGACCCUGCCUAAGCCUGAGAUUAGUCUUUGAGCCAUCAGCAGUCUCCAGGGGGUGACUGAAUCAGCAGUGGAAGGUGACUUUCUAUAAGUCAUCAUCCUACCUUAGAAGAACUGAAAUUUACAGAAAAACAGAAAUAAAGACAGCUACUUUCCGCAACAGAGGACCUGGUUUCAAAUCCUGUUUCUGAUGAUUCCUGCUUACCUGGCUUUAGUGGUUCCAGAAGGGAGCCCUUUUUUUCCUGGAAUGGGACCUCACUCCGCCUGGCUCGGAGGUAAAAACAAGCACACUACUGAGGAUGAAGGACCACGUGACCAACAUUCCGGCCAGCCCUGCUCCUGGGCUCCUUAGAAGUUUCAGAUCUGUUUUUCUUGGUCCCGUGCAAGUCAUCAUUA